GACGAACGCUGGCGGCGUGCCUCAUACAUGCAAGUCGAGCGGACUGACUUCGGUCAGUUAGCGGCGGACGGGUGAGUAACACGUGGGUAACCUGCCCUAAAGACUGGGAUAACAUCCUGAAAGGGAUGCUAAUACCGGGUAAGGUCUUCUUGUCGCAUGGCAGGAAGAAGAGAGGCGAAAGCCGCUUUAGGAUGGACCCGCGUCCCAUUAGCUAGUUGGUAGGGUAAAGGCCUACCAAGGCGACGAUGGGUAGCCGACCUGAGAGGGUGACCGGCCACACUGGGACUGAGACACGGCCCAGACUCCUACGGGAGGCAG
rnacentral:rRNA from 1 species